GAUGAACGCUGGCGGCGUGCCUAAUACAUGCAAGUCGAGCGAACAGACGAGGAGCUUGCUCCUCUGAUGUUAGCGGCGGACGGGUGAGUAACACGUGGAUAACCUACCUAUAAGACUGGGAUAACUUCGGGAAACCGGAGCUAAUACCGGAUAACAUGUUGAACCGCAUGGUUCAACAGUGAAAGACGGUUUUGCUGUCACUUAUAGAUGGAUCCGCGCCGCAUUAGCUAGUUGGUAAGGUAACGGCUUACCAAGGCAACGAUGCGUAGCCGACCUGAGAGGGUGAUCGGCCACACUGGAACUGAGACACGGUCCAGAGUCCUACGGGAGGCAGCAGUAGGGAAUCUUCCGCAAUGGGCGAAAGCCUGACGGAGCAACGCCGCGUGAGUGAAGAAGGUCUUCGGAUCGUAAAACUCUGUUAUUAUGGAAGAACAAAUGUGUAAGUAACUAUGCACGUCUUGACGGUACCUAAUCAGAAAGCCACGGCUAACUACGUG
rnacentral:rRNA from 1 species